rnacentral:lncRNA from 1 species
GGCUGUCUCUGUGUAGGACGAGGGGAUGUGUGGGGUAGCUGUGUGGUGUGAGGGUAUGGGUCGUGUAUAGGUUGGUAUAGCUGCUGUAAAUUUGGUAGUUGGCAAUGAAACAUUGCAAGUGUGGGUAUGUUGAGUGUUAGUGCGUGUUUUAUGGGGAGAUGGAUGUAGUUUAGGUACACAGGUUAAAAGUAUAAGAAAGCUUCCAUAUAAGGUGGGGGAGUAACGACAUGAUGAGGUUGUGUUGGCUCAGUAGCAUCGGGGGACGUCGAUAUUGGUUAUCGCUACCUAGGAAAAGUAAGUUGAUCGCCGAUGGUGGUGAUGGUCGGGAGACUCCGACGAGAAUGGAUUUGGUCGCCGAUAUUGGUGACGGUAAAGGAUGGUAUUUCUGUGUGUGUGAGUGGCCUAUUAGGGGUCGAGAGGUAGGUGGUUUAUUGAUGAUCGCCGAUAUUGGUGACGGGUGUGAAU